UUCUUGGUCAUUUAGAGGAAGUAAAAGUCGUAACAAGGUUUCCGUAGGUGAACCUGCGGAAGGAUCAUUAACGAAAUGUCAAAUGUUUGGGAUUUGUGGGGUUGUUGCUGGCCUCUUCACGCGGAGAGGUAUGUGCACGCCUUUGACCUGAGCGUUUCAGUCCUUUCUUCACACCUUGUGCACCUCAUGUAGCCGGGGAUGAUCACGAAGCCUCUCGGUUUCGAAAGCCCCGGCUAUGAAGUCGUCUACACGCGCGCCUUGUAAAGUCUUAUUAGAACGCUUGUAUCCGCGUCUGACGCGAAUUGAAUACAACUUUCAGCAACGGAUCUCUUGGCUCUCGCAUCGAUGAAGAACGCAGCGAAAUGCGAUAAGUAAUGUGAAUUGCAGAAUUCAGUGAAUCAUCGAAUCUUUGAACGCACCUUGCGCUCCUUGGUAUUCCGAGGAGCAUGCCUGUUUGAGUGUCUUGAAAUUCUCGACUGCCUCUCGGGGUGAAGUCGGAUUUGAAGCGUGUUUUUGCCAGGUUUUGGCUGCUUCUAAAAGCAUUCGAGUUCAUAUCUCCAUGCAAAGUACCUUUGACGUGAUAAUCAAUCUACGUCGCGGAGAAAAGCUUAGAGAAGGGCUUGUGAAUGUGUUUUGGUGUUGACCUUUUUGACCUCAAAUCAGGCAGGACUACCCGCUGAACUUAAGCAUAUCAAUAAGCGGAGGAAA
rnacentral:rRNA from 1 species